GAGUAAGUGCUCAACUGUUGAGGUGA
rnacentral:piRNA from 1 species